GGGGAGGGGGGAGGAGCCAUCUCACAGGGCACAAAUGAGAACAGGGGAGCCCAGAGUGUUUUAGUUUUAUUCUUGCCUUUGGGACCCCUGUUCUGCUCACAAGAAGAGAAUUUUCCACCUGGAUCUUGAUUUCCUUCAUGAUUUAAUGUCUAAGAAGCUGGGCACGGUGCUGUAGACUUUGGCGAGCAGCUAUUCAAAACACAAACCAUUCAAAAGCAUGUAAGCACCGAAGGUAAGCCAGGGAGAUGGCUACCGCCACUGUGUGCAGGACACCAAGGUAGCCUGUCAGCCUUUGUUCGUGAGGAUUAACAGACCUAGGCAUUAACUGUCAGCUACACAACCAGAAAAUUAGUCAGCAAUUUCCACUGACAGCGCUUCCUCCCAACAGUAAGAGAAUAAUCCAACGCUAAGUCCUCCCAGUCAAGCUCAAGAGGAAGGCCUGAGGAAUGAGAGCAUCCCACCUGCCAGUCACUGGAGAGGAGGGCUUUAAGUCUGCGAGUGACAGAGAGCUGUUGCAGCCUCAGCCUUUAUUGAAUUCCUCAGGUUUAUCAGGGUCUGAAAGUCUGAAUGCUACAAUCACAAAGGGCUGGGCAGGCCAAGUCUUCCAGGUCUGGUUUGUGUCUGGAUGGAGUAGGGAGGGGACAGAGUCAGAAGUGUUAACUACUGAGGAAUAGCCGUAAGGUCCCAGGACAUCAGUGGCUGCUCUUCCGCCUCCACUGAGAUCAGCCCUGCCUUGUGCUCUUCAAGCACAAAUACCUCCUACCAGGGGACUUUUGGAAAUUGUGCUCCAAGCUUUGGGCCUGAUAACCCCGGCAGGCUCACCGGUCUUGACAUCCUGAUUUUGUUUCUGGUCCACCUUCGAGGUGGGUUAUUAGGAAUCCAGGAACAACCUUCCCUGCCUCCUCUCUGUACGGGCACUCCCCUCCCCCAGCCCCCAGCCCUGGCUGCCAGGGCUGAUUUCAAGAGCGUGAGUGUCAUUAACUGACAUUCAUCAAAACACUCCUCGGUGUUCCCAGACACGAGGGCCGAGAGGUGGACCUCGGUGGGCAUUUCAUGUUAAUCUGUAUGGAGGACCUGCCUGACAAAACACAUUACUGUAAGAACUGCCGGCCUGAAAACGAAGCUAUGUUUAUGACUCACCCUGUUUUUCUUCCCUGAAGGAAAUGACAGCUUCCCCUCUCUAUCCUUCUGAGCCUUCCAUGGCUCCCCCUCCCCUAUCAUCCACACAACCUUAACAUUUAAUUUUUCCUCCAUGAGUAAAGCUUUUGUUGGCGGUGUCUGCAAAAUUAUAAUAAACAUCUUGGGCUUCUGCACUGGUGUCUGAGAUUAAAAACGCGAAACAAUGAACCUCGACAUGCUGCCUUUAACGUGUGUGAUGAGUGGCAUUCCCCAGGGGACCAUGUUGCGGGCAUAACUGCAGCUACGUGGGCUGUGGGCUGGGGAGGGGAGUGCUGGAUGCAUCCCAUAGAGGAUCUAAGCCAUGCUGAGUGAUUCUCACCGCAGAGGGCUCUGAGGCUCCUGUGCCUGUGUGCCCAUGGUGCAGGCUCACUGACAUGGAGGACUGCUGGGACUCCUGGGUCUGUGUGCCCAUAGCACAGGUUCACUGAUGUAGAAGGCUGCCAGGACUCCUGUGUCUGUGUGUCAGGACUCCCAUGUCUGUCUGUCCAUAGCGUGGACUCCUCUUUGGAGCCUGAGACUUUCAGUUCUGUGCUCCAGGUUACUUUUGCCUGUAAAUACUAAAGGUGCUCCUCUCCCACACGGAAGAUCUUUUAUUUACUUUAUUGUGCUUUAGCGCCCCCACCCUUGGGUUCUCACCCUGGAUGAGAACACUCCCUUUAGGGGGUAGGCACUCUGUAAAGGGACCUUAUUUUCUGGCCCAGUUUAGAACAUAGAUUGAGACAUGGUGGCAGAAGAGGCUAUGAAAGUCACAGGAAACAGGGACACCCAGGCUUUACCGGUUGGUUUCUUCCCUUUCCUCCCACUUCCCUUCCUGUGGCUUAGGAAGUUUAUGAGGUCACAAACUAACAUGGCACACAUGUCCUCUGAGGAAUUCCUGGCCCUGCCUUGUGUUUUCACUGCUGUAGAACCCAUUUGCCAUUCAGGGGUCAGACUCCUUGAACUUUCUCCAAGACCAUGAAGGCAGGAAGGCAUGACCAGCUGGCCUUGCUCUGUUGACGUUAGUGAAGUUCUGCUGGCAGGAGUCUCUCCAGGAAGUCUACCUUAGUAAGAGCAGGAAUUGUUCAGUUACGGUUCUGACAGGCAGCCUUGCCAGUUUCCCAGGAUUUUGCCUUGGGAGACGAGUGCAGAGGAAAGACAGGCGGAAGGGCAUCCUGGGAGGAGUGAGCCUCUAGGCCCUUCAGCUAGUGUUCUCUGGGAGUGGGUGGGCCAACCAUAUGUCAUGGGAGCUUGUUCUUAGGACAUGGAACGUGGAACAGGGGAUCCAGAGCUUUGUGUGGGGAGGGGCCUGGUGGGGUUACUUUAGACUAUGGAGAAGGCCAGCCCUGGGGCAGUCAGGGAACCAGGCUGAAUACAGAGGUUCUGUCCAGGGCCACGGGGCCUGUGUGGCUCCCCGACUGCCAGGUGAGUGCCACAGAUCAAGUUGUGGUAAAAGCAUAUCUUCUUUGGAGAUAACCGGUUUUAAAACGGCUCACAGCUAAAUUCAUAAUUCAAGUGUCCCAGGUAGAUUCUAAAAGAAUCCGUUUCAAUGACAUAGAAGAUUAUUUCUAAUUAAACCCUGAUGGAUACAGUGUUCCCCUCUUCUGUACCCAAAUCCAUGCUAUACAAGUGACUUUAAAAGAUGUAAUUGUUUUUUUUCAUUGUUAAUGCUCCACAAAACCAAUUUCAGGAAGGAAGGAUUUAUUUCGGCUAGUGGUCCGUCAUGCUGGGGAAGGCAUGGCGGCAGGGGCCUACGUGUCCGGUCACAGCUCAGUGACUUUCUCUCCUUUCCCUUUUUAUUCAGCCUGGUACCCCAGACUGUGGGAGAGUACUAUUCACCUUUAGGGUGGGUCUUCCCUCCUCAGUUAAAUGUCUCUGGAAACCUUCCAAUAGACAGACACACCGGGAAGUGUAUGUCCCAGGUGAUUCUAAAUCCAGUCAAGUUGACGGUGAAGACGAGCUGCCGAGAUGUGAGAAAAUAUUAGCUGAAGCAAUAACUUAGUUCUUUACCUUCUGAAUUUGGAAGGUAAAUAACAGAAGAGAGCCUUACAUGGCUUGGAUUUUGGACGGAUGCGAUCAGAGUGAUAAAAACUAACAUUGACCAGCCACACAGUGUCUGGGAAGCAGGAACGAGGUGACAUCUAUUCUAAAUCUCUCGCACCAUUGUCUCAGUUAGGGUUUCUAUUGCUGUGACAAAAUGCUGUGACCAAAAGUAACUGGGGAGGAAAAACAAAUUAUCUAAGGUCUCAUUUUGUCACCAAGGGAAGUCAGGGCAUGAACUCAAGAGAGGAACCUGGAAGCAGGAACUGAAGCAGAAGCCACAAAGAAACUCUGCUUACUGACUUGCUGCCCAGUAUCUGUUCAGUCUGCUUUAUUAUAUACCCAAGGACCACCCACCUAUGACUGGCACUGCCCCCAGAGAGCUGGACCUUUCCACUUCAGUCAACAAUCAGGACACUACCCAACACACUUACCUAUCGGCUAGUCUUACAGAGGGGAAGUGUUUUCCCAGUUAUGAUUCCCUCUUCCCAGAUACGUCUAGGUUUGCAUCGAGCUGACCGUAGUUCUGAUGUGAGAAUUAGGUUAAGUAAACAUACUCUAUUAACUUCUUGAACAGAUUAUUUAGAUGGUUACCUUCAGAUCCCUGACCCAGAUUCAAUCCAAAAUGGCCACCUUGCCUUGCCUCUGAGAGCUAGCUAUCACAGAGCUUGACACUUCCUCCCACAAACUGACUGCAAAGAGCUCCUAGACCGCGUCGGCUGCUCUCUGCAACCUCUCCUCAUCCAGCCCGGUGGAAAAGAGGGAGCAGACAGGAGGCCUGAGCAGAGAUGUGCCAGCUCAAAUCCCACAGGUACAUCAAAUACCUUUCCGUGGAAAAAGAAAAUCCUUAAGGAUGGGAAAUCCUAUGAUCUGUUCAGCAGCGAAUGCUGAGUACAGCGUCUACCUUGUGCAUCCACAGCAUGCAUGAAACCCUUCCCUGAUGGAACCUAGUGCUGAAAGGCCAGGUGUAUGGUGGGGCCUCAGUUCAAGACUGGGCAAUUAUAUCUUUAUUUUGCUGGCUUGAAUGUAAAUCUCCAUCCUGUCCAACCAGUGCUUCACCCACGUUAGCUUUCCACCACUGCGCUGGACCCCAGCAUGCCUGAACUUAACGUUGAACUGUUAUUUACUAAUCUUCUGGCCUCGCCAGUGACCUUCACCCCUCAUUCUUAGCCCUUCAACGUAUCGGCCAACCUUUCUGUAAAUGGUUAAGAUUCUUAUAAAAACUAAACUUACGGACAGAA
rnacentral:sRNA from 1 species